AUUGAACGCUGGCGGCAGGCCUAACACAUGCAAGUCGAGCGAGCGGCGGACGGGUGAGUAAUGUCUGGGAAACUGCCUGAUGGAUUGGGAUAACUACUGGAAACGGUAGCUAAUACCUCAUACCAUCAGCUGUGCCCAGAUGGGAUUAGCUAGUAGGUGGGGUAACGGCUAACCUAGGCGACGAUCCCUAGCUGGUCUGAGAGGAUGACCAGCCAAGCUGGAACUGAGAAACGGUCAAGAUUCCUACGUGAGGGGGCAGUGGGCAAUAGAGAAAAAUGGGAGGAAGCCGGAAGCAGCCAUGCAACGUGUGUGAAGAAGGCCUGCGGGUGGUAAAGAAAUUUCAGCGGGGAGGCGUUAACCGGAGAAGAAGCAACGGCUAACUACGUGACAGCAGCCGCGGAAAUA
rnacentral:rRNA from 1 species